UACGGAGGGGGCUAGCGUUGUUCGGAAUUACUGGGCGUAAAGGGCGCGCAGGCGGCCUUAGAAGUCAGAUGUGAAAGCCCCGGGCUCAACCUGGGAAUGGCAUUUGAUACUCUGAGGCUGGAGUACGGGAGAGGAGAGUGGAAUUCCCAGUGUAGAGGUGAAAUUCGUAGAUAUUGGGAAGAACACCGGUGGCGAAGGCGGCUCUCUGGACCGUAACUGACGCUGAGGCGCGAAAGCGUGGGGAGCAAACAGG
rnacentral:rRNA from 1 species